rnacentral:lncRNA from 1 species
AUCUUCAAGCCUUGAAUUUCCUCUUUUGAGAGAAUAAAGGCCGUCCUUCAAUAAAGAUUCUUUGUACUUUGGUUGAGGGAAGCAAUUGCUUUUUAAUUGAGAGCCAAACCUCAAGCGAGGUUUGCCCACCAAUUGUCAUACUCAGCACAUCUUAAUUCCUCCAUCAUUCCCCUUAGCCAAGUCAUCAAUAAUCCGUCGUUAUUCAUCCAUUGAAUGAACUCGGG